rnacentral:lncRNA from 1 species
GGAAUUUAAUUAUCUGCUGGAGAGAAGCCCUGACAGCUGUGGCGUAGGUUUUUCAAUGUGAUGUUGCCUGGAUCGCAAGAAAAAUAUCAAGGGCUGGUGAGAACAGCCAUGUUCUAAAAGCAUCUCUGCCUGGGUUAGACCACUGCCUACCAAAGAGAAUAUGUAUUUUCCCCUCUCAGUUCUACUUUUAUCCAAGUGCAUACAUUUCUGGAAGUGUAGAGAGAGUGCAAAAAUGACAGAGAAAAGCUUGCUCGGAGUUGGCAGGCCAGGACAGCCAGGAAAAAAUGUGCAGACUUAAGUUGCAGAAAAGCACCACUGCAGGAUGCUCUCCAGAAACCCAAGAAACAGAAAAUCAUGCUCUUCUCCACACUAUUUCCCUUAUCAGCACAUCGCGUGGUGCGUACGCAGUGUCUCGGUGCAGCCGGGUGAGUGUGUUGUCUGCACAGUAAUCACCAAGAACAAAGACUCAUCUGCACGGUCAGUGAGCAGGGCUGGGGGGCUGUGUGUGCACACACGUGCCUGUGACACUGCCUGGCUUUGCAGGGCUGUG